CCUACGGGUGGCAGCAGUGAGGGAUAUUGGUCAAUGGGGGAAACCCUGAACCAGCAACGCCGCGUGAGGGAAGACGGUUUUCGGAUUGUAAACCUCUGUCCUCUGUGAAGAUGAUGACGGUAGCAGAGGAGGAAGCUCCGGCUAACUACGUGCCAGCAGCCGCGGUAAUACGUAGGGAGCAAGCGUUGUCCGGAUUUACUGGGUGUAAAGGGUGCGGAGGCGGCUUUGCAAGUCAGCAGUGAAAUCCAUGGGCUUAACCCAUUAACUGUUUUUGAAACUGGAGAGCUUGAGUGGAGUAGAGGUAGGCGGAAUUUCUGGUGUAGGGGUGAAAUGCGUAGAGAUCGGGAGGAACACCAGUGGCGAAGGCGGGCUGCUGGGCCCUAACUGACGCUGAGGCACGAAAGCGUAGGUAGCAAACAGGAUUAGAUACCCGAGUAGUC
rnacentral:rRNA from 1 species